CCCCUCAAAACAGACUUCGAACCUCCUAAAGACCGGGGUGAGUGCCUUACCAUAAGGCAAGUAAGCCCUAGACCUAUUUUGGAUCUCUCUCAUGGCCUCAAACAUCAUAGCAGGAAGGUUCAAGGAGGUCUCGGUGAUCAUAUGGUACAUGAUGCAUAUAUCCCUACCAGAUAAGAGGUCAUGCCUACCACUCUUAGGGACAAAAAGUUUGGUCACCAUGUGAUGCAAAAGUCUCAUCUUUACUGAAAGUAUCUUUGCUUCUAAUUUAUUUAAAUUUUUUGUAAAUGCUCUCCCUAAAAUAAUACUUAGUCCCUCUUCU
rnacentral:lncRNA from 1 species